rnacentral:rRNA from 1 species
UACGGAGGGGGCUAGCGUUGUUCGGAAUUACUGGGCGUAAAGCGCACGUAGGCGGCGCGACACGUCAGAGGUGAAAGGCCUGGGCUCACCCUGGGAACUGCCUUUGAUACUGGCGUGCUUGAGUCCGGAAGAGGGUGGCGGAAUUCCCAGUGGGGAGGUGAAAUGCGUAGAUAUUGGGAAGAACACCGGUGGCGAAGGCGGUCACCUGGUCCGGUACUGACGCUGAGGUGCGAAAGCGUGGGGAGCAAACAGG